rnacentral:rRNA from 1 species
UACAGAGGGUGCAAGCGUUGCUCGGAAUUAUUGGGCGUAAAGGGUAGGUAGGUGGUCUCAUUUGUCUGGGGUGAAAUCCUUGGGCUUAACCCAAGAAGUGCCCCAGAAACGGUGAGACUGGAGUCCUGGAGAGGGUCGUGGAAUUCCCGGUGUAGCGGUGAAAUGCGUAGAGAUCGGGAGGAACACCAGAGUCGAAGGCGGCGACCUGGACAGGUACUGACACUCAACUACGAAAGCGUGGGGAGCAAACAGG